rnacentral:tmRNA from 1 species
GGGGGUGUACUGGCUUCGACAGGGCGGGCAAAGGUGCGCAGGCAACUCGUCAGGCGAUCGACGUUAAUGAAGCAAAUCUCCAAACGCCAACGAUGAGCGUUUCGCAAUCGCCGCUUAAGGCUUUUGCCGAGGCUGCUUGAGCCUUGUUACCAAAGAAAAGCCGGUGGGGACUUCGGUCCCCAUCGUUA